rnacentral:rRNA from 1 species
UGGUUAAAAAGCUCGUAGUUGGAUCUCAACAGCCUUGGAAGCGGUUAACUUUGUAGUUUUACUGCUUUUUAGGCUGUGCUUUUGCUGGAGGUUUAGGGGUGCUCUUGAUCGAGUGUCUCUGGAUGCCAGCAGGUUUACUUUGAAAAAAUUAGAGUGCUCAAAGCAGGCUAAAAUGCCUGAAUAUUCGUGCAUGGAAUAAUAGAAUAGGAUGUCGAUCCUAUUUUGUUGGUUUUCGGGACUCGACAUAAUGAUAAAUAGGGACAGUCGGGGGCAUUUGUAUUCAAACGACAGAGGUGAAAUUCUUGGACCGUUUGAAGACAAACUACUGCGAAAGCAUUUGCCAAGAAUGUUUUCAUUAAUCAAGAACGAAAGUUAGAGGUUCGAAGGC